rnacentral:rRNA from 1 species
CUACGGGAGGCAGCAGUGAGGAAUAUUGGGCAAUGGGGGAAACCCUGACCCAGCAAUGCCGCGUGCGGGAAGACGCCUUUCGGGGUGUAAACCGCUUUUCUGCAUGAAGAGGAAGGACGGUAGUGCAGGAAUAAGUCACGGCUAACUACGUGCCAGCAGCCGCGGUAAUACGUAGGUGGCGAACGUUAUCCGGAAUCACUGGGCGUAAAGGGUCCGCAGGUGGCAUGUCAAGUCGAUUGUGAAAGCUCCCGGCUCAACUGGGAGAGGACGGUCGAAACUGGCAAACUAGAGUCCGACAGAGGUCGGCGGAAUUCCCGGUGUAGUGGUGGAAUGCGUAGAUAUCGGGAGGAACGCCAAAAGCGAAAGCAGCCGGCUGGGUCGAGACUGACACUGACGCUGAGGCACGAAAGCGUGGGGAGCAAACAGGAUUAGAAACCCUAGUAGUCC